AAACCAUGGUGAGGACAUUCUAAGAGGAGGUUUUUAAAUCUUUCCAUGAAUUUAGAAAAGGACUCAUGUGGUUUCUGCAUGAACUAGAAUAUGUCACUCUUGAGUUU